rnacentral:rRNA from 1 species
UACGUAGGGUGCGAGCGUUGUCCGGAAUUAUUGGGCGUAAAGAGCUUGUAGGCGGUCUGUCGCGUCUGCUGUGAAAAUCCGGGGCUCAACCCCGGACUUGCAGUGGGUACGGGCAGACUAGAGUGUGGUAGGGGAGACUGGAAUUCCUGGUGUAGCGGUGAAAUGCGCAGAUAUCAGGAAGAACACCCGUGGCUAAGGCGGCUCUCUAGUACGUGACUGACGCUGAGACGCGAAAGCGUGGGGAGCGAACAGG